rnacentral:lncRNA from 1 species
UUUAUUUGGGUGGGAGUGCGGUGAAAGUGGAGAAUUGGAAAGUUGUUUUCGUCAUAGGCGAUUAUUAUCGUUGUUUGAUUCAUCGUAAAUAAAUUACGAUCGAAACUCGAGUUAAUUUGAAAUACUAUAAUUCACUUCGGUCCAUUAUGAGCCAAAAUCAAUUAGGAUAAAAAAAAAAUAAUAAAAUAAUAAAAUAAUAUACUAGAUAAAGAUAAUUAUAUUUAAAUAUAUUUAAUUAUGGUACUAAUUAUUUUUUUAUUUAAUUGACAUAUUUAAAAUAUAAUAAAAAAUUAUUAGUUAAAUUUUAAUAUUUUUUAUUUAAUUUGUACAAUUAAAACAUGAUAAAAAUUAAUUAAUUAAGUACUAAUAUUUUUUUUACGCUAUAAUUUUAUUGUUGUUUUAUUAUAAUUUAUGUAUAAAAAAUAAUAUAGUUAUUUUAAAUUAAAUCUUAAUUAUAUAAAAAUAUAAUUAUAUUAUUUUUAUUUAUUAUUUGUAUACAAAUUAUAGUUUUACAUCAUACAGUUUUUACCGAAUAAAAUAGCAGAACUAAUAAAAUUUUACUUUCAUAAUUACGUGAAAAAGAAAUAAUUUUUACCAAAUUUUUCUUCAAGCCAAAAUUCAAUUUAGGUGAAACAAAUAUGCAUGCCGGCAGGUCAGAGGGGAUAUCCACGCACGUGCCGGUCACGUGCCCCCUUACCAUCUGUUGCGUCCUCGCGAGGGGCGCCGCGGCGCGGCGUCUCCCCACUUCGAGAGCGCACGUGAUCCCACCAGGUCCUGGUCUGCUUUUACCUCCGAGGUCGCACGUGACACGCGUUUUUUCUUUAAAUAUUUUUUUUCUUUUUGUCACUACACAUGUGUGAUUAUGAAGAAUUUUUUCUACGCGGUUUUCUCACUUUUCCCUACG